UAAUAGUUUUUUCCCCAAUUUCUCGUGUGUUCCAUUUUUAGGGCAUCAUGAAGACUCGCAAGAUGGCUGCUGCUGCACAACAAGAGGCUUGCAGAUACAGAGGAAACAUAUGCAAGAUUUUAAGUGGUGAUAAUCAUCUACAGUUCUGUGAUAAACAUUACAAGUUUCAUACUGAUUUUCUGAGAAACAAUCCCUCGAUUCUGAAGAAGUGGCAUCAUGAUCUUCUUGGGUCUGACAGUACUCCAGAUCUAACGAAGAAGAAGAAGAGGAAGCAGGCUCCCGAUCAGCAGAGAUCCAUCCUACCUCCAGACGAAGAGCGUUGUUGUAGAAAUGAUGGAAUGAUAUGGAGAUGUAAGAAUUUCAGGAUGAAGACUAAAAGUUAUUGUCAACAACAUUGCACUUCUAUUUUUCUGCAUAACAAGAAUCGUCUUAUGAAGAAGAAGAAGAAUAAGAAGAACAGUGGAUCUGAUUUUUCUAAGAAGAAGAGGAACAGUGGAUCUGAUUCAAAUUGCACUAAACGGCCGGGGAAACGGCAGCUGACGGACCAACCAUCUACUAGUAAUCCUUCCACCAGCUCUGAUGGAAUUGUAGGUGCUGGUUCUGUCAAAAUUGGUGCAAAGAGGAAAAGAGUUGAAAGAAUGUCAGGAGAACUAAAAUCAUUCACAGGAAUUAGGGAAACUAGGGCCUCGAAACGGAGGAAGAUGUUAAUGGAAGGUGGUGAAACAAGUAAUCAACCAGCUACAAAUGAUAACUUUGAAUCUGAUGGAAUUGUAGGUGGUGCUUCUGCUGAAAUUGGUGCAAAGAGGAAAAGACUUGAAAAAAUGUCAGGAGAACCAAAAUCAUUGACAGGAAUUAGGGAAACUAGGGCCUCGAAACGGUGGAAGAUGUUAAUGGAAGGUGGUGAAACAAGUAACCAACCAGCUGCAAAUGAUAACUUUGAAUCUGAUGCAAUCGUAGGUGGUGCUUCUGCUGAAAUUGGGUCAAAGGGGAAAAAUGUCGAAAGAACAAAAGGGUCUGGAGAACCUGUAAUUGAAUUGGAGAGCGUGAACCUUUAUAAAAGUAACUGCUUUGAAUUAUCUAUGGAGCCUGAGAAGAAUAAGGUGGAGCUUGAGAAGAAUCAAGUAGAGCUUGAGAAGAAUCAAGUAGAGCUUGAGAAGAAUGAAGUAGAGAUUGAGAAGAAAAAGGUGGAGGUUGAGAAGAAUAAGAUGGAGCCUGAGAAGAAUAAGAUGGAGCCUGAGAAGGUGGAAGCGGAGCUUGAGAAGAAUGAAGUAGAGCUUGAGACGAAUGAAGUAGAGAUUGAGAAGAAAAAGGUGGAGCUUGAGAAGAAUAAGAUGGAGCCUGAGAAGGUGGAAGCGGAGCUUGAGAAGAAUGAAGUAGAGCUUGAGACGAAUGAAGUAGAGAUUGAGAAGAAAAAGGUGGAGCUUGAGAAGAAUAAGAUGGAGCCUGAGAAGAAUAAGAUGGAGCCUGAGAAGGUGAAAGCGGAGCUUGAGAAGAAUGAAGUAGAGCUUGAGACGAAUGAAGUAGAGCUUGAGAAGAAAAAGGUGGAGCUUGAGAAGAAUAAGAUGGAGCCUGAGAAGAAUAAGGUGGAGCUUGAGAAGAACGAAGUAGAGCUUGAGACGAAUGCAGUAGAGCUUGAGAUGAAUGCAGUAGAGCUUGGGAAGAAAAAGCUGGAGCUUGAGAAGAAUAAGAUGGAGCCUGAGAAGAAUAAGGCGGAGCUUGAGAAGAAUGAAGUAGAGCUUGAGAAGAAUGAGGUGGAGCGUGAGGAGAAUGAGGUGGAGCGUGAGAAGAAUAAGGUUGAGCUUGAGAAGAAUGAAGUAGAGCUUGAGAAGAAUGAGGUGGAGCGUGAGAAGAAUAAGAUGGAGCCUGAGAAGAAUAAGAUGGAGCUUGAGAAGCAUGAAGUAGAGCUUGAGAAGAAAAAGGUGGAGCUUGAGAAGAAUAAGAUGGAGCUUGAGAAGAAUGAAGUAGAGCUUGAGACGAAUGAAGUAGAGCUUGAGAAGAAAAAGGUGGAGCUUGAGAAGAAUAAGAUGGAGCCUGAGAAGAAUAAGAUGGAGCCCGAGAAGGUGAAAGCGGAGCUUGAGAAGAAUGAAGUAGAGCUUGAGAAGAAAAAGGUGGAGCUUGAGAAGAAUAAGAUGGAGCCUGAGAUGAAUAAGGUGGAGCUUGAGAAGCCUGAGAAGAAUAAGGUGGAGCUUGAGAAGGUGAAAGCGGAGCUUGAGAAGAACGAAGUAGAGCUUGAGACGAAUGCAGUAGAGCUUGGGAAGAAAAAGGUGGAGGUUGAGAAGAAUAAGAUGGAGCCUGAGAAGAAUAAGGUGGAGCUUGAGAAGAAUGAAGUAGAGCUUGAGAAGAAUGAGGUAGAGCGUGAGAAGAAUAAGAUGGAGCCUGAGAAGAAUAAGUUGGAGCUUGAGAAGCAUGAAGUAGAGCUUGAGAAGAAUAAGAUGGAGCUUGAGAAGAAUAAAGUAGAUCCUGAGAAAAUGAAAGUGGAGCUUGAGAAGAAGAAGGUAGAGUGCACUGAAUUCCAGGAUAAAUUAGCGGAGGUAGAAGAAACUAGAAAGAGUACUUCUAAAGAUGAGAAUGCAACUGAAUUAUGGAGAAUGAAGUGUUCCAAUUCGGAGAUUCUAGUCCAAAGAAUGGAAAAUGAAAAUUCAACAAUUGGAUGUGUUGAGACACGCAUUUCUAAUUUGGUGAGCCUAGUCCCGGGGAAUGGAAAAGAAAGUUCGAUAUUGAGAUGUCAAGAACUGAGUUACUCUGAAAAGAUAGAGUCUGAAGCGCGGGGUUUGCAGAAUGAAAUUACUCAAACUGGUGAAAAGCAAAGAGAUGAAAACAUGAGCAAACCUAAUGCUGAAACCAGAGGUGAAGGGAGCAAGGAUUCUCGUGCGUAUGAACUGAAAGCCGAGGAGAAAGUGCUGAAUGUUGAAGAAGGGAAGGGUUGGGGCUGUUUGGAAGAGAGACCAUCUCAACAUGGAUCAUCAUCUCAAGCUGAUCUGGAAAUGUGUAAGAAGACUUUCGUGAACUUGGUCUCUGACUCAAUUGACGGUGGUGAUAGUCUUGGCGCGGAAGAUUCUCUUGGUGACUCAAUGGAUAUGCUGGCGAUGAAAAAUUUGAAUAUGAACAAAGACAAAAUGAAAUGGAAUUCUGAGGCUGAUAUGCUUUCUUCAGUUGAAGAGGACCCUGAGUUUUGUAUGAAAGCUGUUGGUGCUCUCUAUCAACAGGAAAUACCCGAAGAUGAAAUAUAUCCCAAGGGAUUGGUCGAUUGACAAUGACACACUCAGAGAUGGGUGGACCAGGAAAGUUUAGUAGUCGACUUUUCAAUAAUUGUCAGAUAAAUGAUUUGCUGCGGUCCCGAGAUUUCAUAUCUGUAGGUGUCAUGUGAAUGGUGGGAGCAAGUUAUUCUCCUGCUCAUCGCUGCACGUAUACAGGGCUGGAAAGCCAACCUGCAAAGUGUGCAUAGUUAUUUCGAAGUGUAUUACUUUUGCCAAGUUUGUGAUGGAUGGAGACAGUUGAAGACAUUAGAAUCUGAAGCGGCUGAUGACUAGAAGCUACUGAAGCAGUUAUUCAGCAUCUACCAAAACGGAAAAGAUCUUUUUUACCUUCCAGCUACAACUGCUAAGUGGCCUUAAUUUUUUGCAUUAGAUAUUGCAAUCUUUCAUUUCUUUUUAACCUCUAAUUUUGCACACAUGUGAAAUGGAAAACUGGUUAAUAUACCCAGCUGUACAUUGGAUGUGUGUUGACUCUGCAAUGUAAUAAGCCAUACGGAGUAUUAUGGUAGUUGCCCUUUAGGUUGUUUUGAGAUGCCUACAUGGUUAAAAAACAACCCUUGUUUUGCUCAGGAAACUGAUAAUGUUAUGCGUAAAAUUAAUCUUAUUACUGAAGUUAAAGCUGGAUUA